rnacentral:rRNA from 1 species
UCCUACAGGAGGCAGCAGUGAAUUUUCUUGGACGAUGGGAGCCCUCCUGAUCCAGCCUUGCCUCGUGAAUAUGACUGCCCUAUGGUAACCUAGUUCUUUCGCCAGGAAUGAUUAUGACAACACCUGGAAAAGAAAUCCCCGAUAUCUCUGUGCCCACCCCCGCUGUAAUACAGAAGGGGUUAGUUUUCUUCAAAAUUAGUGGGCAUAAAGCGUACAUGGGCGGACCAUUAUCUCUGGCAUGAAUUGCCGGGGCUCUCCCCAAAAGCUGCCUAUAAUACUAGACUUCUUUAGGUCAAGAGUACUGAGUGUUAUUCUGAUUGCAGUAGUGUACUUGAUAGAUUUUAGGAACGUACACGAUCGGCGAACGCUACUCACUGGAUUCAUACAUCACGUUGACGAACUCUA